GGGUUGUGAGGUUAAGCGACUAAGCGUACACGGUGGAUGCCCUGGCAGUCAGAGGCGAUGAAGGACGUGCUAAUCUGCGAAAAGCGUCGGUAAGGUGAUAUGAACCGUUAUAACCGGCGAUGUCCGAAUGGGGAAACCCAGUGUGAUUCGUCACACUAUCGUUAACUGAAUACAUAGGUUAACGAGGCGAACCGGGGGAACUGAAACAUCUAAGUACCCCGAGGAAAAGAAAUCAACCGAGAUUCCCCCAGUAGCGGCGAGCGAACGGGGAGCAGCCCAGAGUCUGAAUCAGCUUGUGUGUUAGUGGAACGGUCUGGAAAGUCCGACGGUACAGGGUGAUAGUCCCGUACACCAAAAUGCACAGGCUGUGAACUCGAAGAGUAGGGCGGGACACGUGGUAUCCUGUCUGAAUAUGGGGGGACCAUCCUCCAAGGCUAAAUACUCCUGACUGACCGAUAGUGAACCAGUACCGUGAGGGAAAGGCGAAAAGAACCCCGGCGAGGGGAGUGAAAAAGAACCUGAAACCGUGUACGUACAAGCAGUGGGAGCACCUUCGGGUGUGACUGCGUACCUUUUGUAUAAUGGGUCAGCGACUUAUAUUCUGUAGCAAGGUUAACCGUAUAGGGGAGCCGCAGGGAAACCGAGUCUUAACUGGGCGUUAAGUUGCAGGGUAUAGACCCGAAACCCGGUGAUCUAGCCAUGGGCAGGUUGAAGGUUGGGUAACACUAACUGGAGGACCGAACCGACUAAUGUUGAAAAAUUAGCGGAUGACUUGUGGCUGGGGGUGAAAGGCCAAUCAAACCGGGAGAUAGCUGGUUCUCCCCGAAAGCUAUUUAGGUAGCGCCUCGUGAACUCAUCUUCGGGGGUAGAGCACUGUUUCGGCUAGGGGGUCAUCCCGACUUACCAACCCGAUGCAAACUACGAAUACCGAAGAAUGUUAUCACGGGAGACACACGGCGGGUGCUAACGUCCGUCGUGAAGAGGGAAACAACCCAGACCGCCAGCUAAGGUCCCAAAGUCAUGGUUAAGUGGGAAACGAUGUGGGAAGGCACAGACAGCCAGGAUGUUGGCUUAGAAGCAGCCAUCAUUUAAAGAAAGCGUAAUAGCUCACUGGUCGAGUCGGCCUGCGCGGAAGAUGUAACGGGGCUAAACCAUGCACCGAAGCUGCGGCAGCGACACUAUGUGUUGUUGGGUAGGGGAGCGUUCUGUAAGCCUGCGAAGGUGACCUGUGAGGGUUGCUGGAGGUAUCAGAAGUGCGAAUGCUGACAUAAGUAACGAUAAAGCGGGUGAAAAGCCCGCUCGCCGGAAGACCAAGGGUUCCUGUCCAACGUUAAUCGGGGCAGGGUGAGUCGACCCCUAAGGCGAGGCCGAAAGGCGUAGUCGAUGGGAAACAGGUUAAUAUUCCUGUACUUGGUGUUACUGCGAAGGGGGGACGGAGAAGGCUAUGUUAGCCGGGCGACGGUUGUCCCGGUUUAAGCAUGUAGGCUGGUUGUCCAGGCAAAUCCGGAUAAUCAAGGCUGAGGUGUGAUGACGAGGCACUACGGUGCUGAAGUAACAAAUGCCCUGCUUCCAGGAAAAGCCUCUAAGCAUCAGGUAACAUCAAAUCGUACCCCAAACCGACACAGGUGGUCAGGUAGAGAAUACCAAGGCGCUUGAGAGAACUCGGGUGAAGGAACUAGGCAAAAUGGUGCCGUAACUUCGGGAGAAGGCACGCUGGUGUGUAGGUGAAGUCCCUGCGGAUGGAGCUGAGACCAGUCGAAGAUACCAGCUGGCUGCAACUGUUUAUUAAAAACACAGCACUGUGCAAACACGAAAGUGGACGUAUACGGUGUGACGCCUGCCCGGUGCCGGAAGGUUAAUUGAUGGGGUUAUCCGUAAGGAGAAGCUCUUGAUCGAAGCCCCGGUAAACGGCGGCCGUAACUAUAACGGUCCUAAGGUAGCGAAAUUCCUUGUCGGGUAAGUUCCGACCUGCACGAAUGGCGUAAUGAUGGCCAGGCUGUCUCCACCCGAGACUCAGUGAAAUUGAACUCGCUGUGAAGAUGCAGUGUACCCGCGGCAAGACGGAAAGACCCCGUGAACCUUUACUAUAGCUUGACACUGAACAUUGAGCCUUGAUGUGUAGGAUAGGUGGGAGGCUUUGAAGCGUGGACGCCAGUCUGCGUGGAGCCAACCUUGAAAUACCACCCUUUAAUGUUUGAUGUUCUAACGUUGGCCCCUGACCGGGGUUGCGGACAGUGUCUGGUGGGUAGUUUGACUGGGGCGGUCUCCUCCCAAAGCGUAACGGAGGAGCACGAAGGUUAGCUAAUCCUGGUCGGACAUCAGGAGGUUAGUGCAAUGGCAUAAGCUAGCUUGACUGCGAGCGUGACGGCGCGAGCAGGUGCGAAAGCAGGUCAUAGUGAUCCGGUGGUUCUGAAUGGAAGGGCCAUCGCUCAACGGAUAAAAGGUACUCCGGGGAUAACAGGCUGAUACCGCCCAAGAGUUCAUAUCGACGGCGGUGUUUGGCACCUCGAUGUCGGCUCAUCACAUCCUGGGGCUGAAGUAGGUCCCAAGGGUAUGGCUGUUCGCCAUUUAAAGUGGUACGCGAGCUGGGUUUAGAACGUCGUGAGACAGUUCGGUCCCUAUCUGCCGUGGGCGCUGGAGAAUUGAGGGGGGCUGCUCCUAGUACGAGAGGACCGGAGUGGACGCAUCACUGGUGUUCGGGUUGUCAUGCCAAUGGCACUGCCCGGUAGCUAAAUGCGGAAGAGAUAAGUGCUGAAAGCAUCUAAGCACGAAACUUGCCCCGAGAUGAGUUCUCCCUGAGACUUUAAGUCUCCUGAAGGAACGUUAAAGACGAUGACGUUGAUAGGCCGGAUGUGUAAGCGCAGCGAUGCGUUGAGCUAACCGGUACUAAUGAACCGUGAGGCUUAACCUUACAACGCCGAAG
rnacentral:rRNA from 1 species